rnacentral:rRNA from 1 species
AUUGAACGCUGGCGGCAGGCCUAACACAUGCAAGUCGAGCGGAGCGGCGGACGGGAGAGUAAUGCAUAGGAAUCUGACUGGUAGUGGGGGAUAAAGUCCGGAAACGGGCGCUAAUACCGCAUACUAUCAGAUGAGCCUAGGUAGGAUUAGCUAGUUGGUGGGUUAAAGGCCUACCAGGGCGACGAUCCGUACCUGGUCUGAGAGGAUGAUCAGUCACACUGGAACUGAGACACGGUACAGACUCCGACGGGAGGCAGCAUUGGGGAAUAUUGGACAAUGGGCGAAAGCCUGAUCCAGCCAUUCCGCGUGUGUGAAGAAGGUCUUCGGGUUGUAAAGCACUUUAAGAUGGGAGGCGUUACCAACAGAAUAAGCAACGGCUAACUUCGUGCCAGAAGCCGCGGUAAUAC